rnacentral:rRNA from 1 species
GAUGAGCAUGCGUCCCAUUAGCUAGUUGGUAAGGUAACGGCUUACCAAGGCUACGAUGGGUAGGGGUCCUGAGAGGGAGAUCCCCCACACUGGUACUGAGGCACGGACCAGACUCCUACGGGAGGCAGCAGUGAGGAAUAUUGGUCAAUGGACGCAAGUCUGAACCAGCCAUGCCGCGUGCAGGAUGACGGUCCUAUGGAUUGUAAACUGCUUUUGCACAGGAAGAAACAACGCUACGUGUAGCGUCUUGACGGUACUGUGAGAAUAAGGAUCGGCUAACUCCGUGCCAGCAGCCGCGGUAAUACGGAGGAUCCAAGCGUUAUCCGGAAUCAUUGGGUUUAAAGGGUCCGUAGGCGGUUUAGUAAGUCAGUGGUGAAAGCCCAUCGCUCAACGGUGGAACGGCCAUUGAUACUGCUAAACUUGAAUUAUUAGGAAGUAACUAGAAUAUGUAGUGUAGCGGUGAAAUGCUUAGAGAUUACAUGGAAUACCAAUUGCGAAGGCA